rnacentral:rRNA from 1 species
AACGAACGCUGGCGGCAUGCCUAACACAUGCAGGUCGAACGAGACCUUCGGGUCUAGUGGCGCACGGGUGCGUAACGCGUGGGAAUCUGCCCUUGGGUUCGGAAUAACAGUUGGAAACGACUGCUAAUACCGGGUGAUGACGUAAGUCCAAAGAUUUAUCGCCCAAGGAUGAGCCCGCGUAGGAUUAGCUAGUUGGUGAGGUAAAGGCUCACCAAGGCGACGAUCCUUAGCUGGUCUGAGAGGAUGAUCAGCCACACUGGGACUGAGACACGGCCCAGACUCCUACGGGAGGCAGCAGUGGGGAAUAUUGGACAAUGGGCGAAAGCCUGAUCCAGCAAUGCCGCGUGAGUGAUGAAGGCCUUAGGGUUGUAAAGCUCUUUUACCCGGGAUGAUAAUGACAGUACCGGGAGAAUAAGCUCCGGCUAACUACCGUGCCAGCAGCCGCGGUAAU